rnacentral:rRNA from 1 species
CACGUAGGGGGCGAGCGUUGUUCGGAAUUACUGGGCGUAAAGGGCAUGUAGGCGGCUCUGUAAGCCUGGCGUGAAAGUCACCGGCUCAACCGGUGGAUUGCGCUGGGAACUGCGGGGCUUGAAUCAUGGAGAGGGAGCUAGAAUUCCAGGUGUAGGGGUGAAAUCUGUAGAGAUCUGGAAGAAUACCAGUGGCGAAGGCGAGCUCCUGGCCAAUGAUUGACGCUGAGGUGCGAAAGUGUGGGGAUCAAACAGGAUUAGAAACCCUUGUAGUCC